rnacentral:rRNA from 1 species
CAGCAGCCGCGGUAAUACAUAGGGGGCGAGCGUUAUCCGGAUUUAUUGGGCGUAAAGAGUGCGUAGGCGGUUUAUUAGGUCAGGCGUAAAAGAUCACAGCUCAACUGUGUAGGGCGUUUGAAACCGAUAGACUUGAAUACGGUAGAGGCAGGCGGAAUUCCAUGUGUAGCGGUGGAAUGCGUAGAUAUAUGGAGGAACACCAAUGGCGAAGGCAGCCUGCUGGGCCGGAAUUGACGCUGAGGCACGAAAGCGUGGGGAGCAAACAGGAUUAGAUACCCUGGUAGUCCACGCCGUAAACGAUGAGAACUAAAUGUUGGCGCGAGUCAUUGCUGAACUUAACGCAUUAAGUUCUCCGCCUGGGUAGUACGGUCGCAAGACUGAAACUCAAAGGAAUUGACGG